AUUGAGGAACUCAAAGCUCGGUUGAGGAAACUAGACGAAGCGUCGGAGAAGAAGGCGUAUGAUGAAUUAGUGAAGGAUAUUACUCCUACGAAAUCCAUGGAUGAACCUUUUUCCUCUUAUAAACAUCAAAUGGGCUUUGGUGAGUGUCUCUCUUUUGCAUCUAUUGCCAUUAUUGAAGUUGUAUUUACUACUUCCAAUUUUAUUGACAUGGUAUUGGAAUGAAAUCAUAUAACCCCAAUUAGUAUGAAUUUAGGGCAUAGUUGAUUGAUAUUGAUUGGAAUUAGAAUUGAAAUUUUAUUUAAAUAGAAGUGAGUUCAUAAAGUUAAUAUUUUGGAAAAAAUUGAACUUUCUUAUUCCAGUGAUAUAUACAACAACAACAUAUCAAAUGUAGUCCUAUAAGUGGUGUCUGGGAAGGGUAGUGUGGAAGCAACCUUACCCCUCGAAUGAUGUUCAGUUUCCCCCACUCCUAAAGCUAAGUAAUGAGCGAGAAAAACGAAUGCUAAAAGAAACUACUUACGUAGUAAUAGUAAGUAGUAGCGAGAAAAUGAAAGGUAUAAUUGCAUCAGUCCUUCCAAUCAAGCUAGCGACCAAUCAUUGCCAUAAAAGCUAGUUGUUUAGACUAUAGACUUGCAGGAUCAGGUGAUAUAUAUAUAUAUAUAUAUAUAUAUAUAUGUUUGUGUGAACACAAUUUUGAUUUAACAAGGUUUGAAAAUGUUCCAAAUAUCUAAUAAAAUAUGUUAUCCUGUUCAUAAGGGUUCUUCUAAAGCUCAAAUUCCAUUCAUUCUAAUUUAUGUAUUCGACAAUUGUUGAUUUCACAUUCUUCCUGAACAACUGGGUACCUGUGGACUUGACCUAUUUUCCUUUAGCUGAAUGUUAGACACAAUAGGGGCUUUGGAGAAAAAGUCCUUUUAACAAAUUUGAUGAGUUCUUUUUAAAACUUGUUUUUUUUUUUUGCUUUUUGCCUAUUGCUUCUGUUUUUCUGUUUGUACGCAUGUACGUUUUUGUUGUGGAAGCGAGUGUUUUCUUUUGUUUUCUCAUCUUGCUUCUUUGUAGAGUAGUGCAGCAAUUCUUGGGAGAAGUUCCAGUACCGACUGAUAUUUCAUGAGUUGAUUGAACAAUAAAAUCAAACCCAUUAAGCUGCAUCCGUAUGAAGAUAUAUCACUUGAUUUGCUAGUAUCAACUGUGAGGUUGAUACAGUUGCUGCGUCCUGAUUUGACCAUUUCUGGUCCUUUGGUGCAGGCUUACAUGUUGGGAUAGCAAUGUUCACUGGCUAUCUGAUGGGAUAUUUUGCAUUCAGGGCCUUAUUUAAUCAUAGUCCAGCAAUGAGCGCUGCUGGAGGCAUUCUUGGAUUGGUCAUUACCAUGCUUGUCGAGACACUUCUCUUUAUU